rnacentral:other from 1 species
UUUUCCCUGCGCUGUUGGUGAUUGACAGAGUGUGUUGAGCCAACUCCCAAAAAAAGGGCAUCUCCACUGGACGAUUAAGGAAAAUCCUUUUAGGAAUUCCCUGAAGCGGACAUGAGUUCUGCCCACCUAAUUCAUUAGGUUUAACUGACCUGCCGACACGGCAGUGCGGGGAAGUU